GUAACACAUGCCUUUUUCAAAGUCACAGUCUGGGCUGGUUUGGGCUAUGGCUCCUGCAACAGCAAGGCUUGAUUAGAAGAAGCAGGGAUAGUAAACUAAAUCGACGCGAAAGGAUAAACGUCGACAAAAAGAGUGUAAUUUAGCAAGAAAAGGGCAGAAACACUUCCCUAUGAACAGCGGUCUCACAGGGAUCUUUGGUGUAGUGCAUAGAUGUGUAGCGGUAGGAAUGAGGAGAGAAAGAAAAAAAAAGAAUCAAAGUAAGGAUAGAUUGUGGCAACGUUAUACACACGCCGCUGACCAGAAAGACUGACUUGCAAACGAGAGGCGGACAGCAUACCGACAAGUACUUUGCCGUGUUUAGCACCUUUCGCCAGCACUCCCGCCCCAGAAUUUCCCUUGGUCGCGUCACACGUGGUCACCAUGACGUCUCGAGAGCUGUAGGGAAGCGGUUUGCAGCGUGACAUGCGCAUCGUUAGGUUGUUGUCAAAAGCUGACCAAAAAAGUAUAUUAGAAUUUUUAGAGAGGCAAACUCUCGCGCGCAAAUAAUAAAAAAAAGACUUAUUUAGUGCUUACUAAACUGCAAAAAAGGUUUUUUUUGUCAGUAAGUGCUUAUUUUCGUCGUUUUCUUGCGUGACGGGCGCAGUCAUUUCUAAGUUUAUUUUGGCUUGAAUUUGCCACUCAAAAUAUCGCGUGAGUUCUUAGUGAAAGUCGCCUAGUAUUAGCUGGGAACAAGGCAAUAAGAUAGUGCCACGGUAGCACAGCGAGACGGACUUUGCGGAGGAUUGGUAUUUUUGAGAGGUGUAAAAUCUUGCCUUUCUAGUGGGAACGGGACUUAUGAUUUUAAACUGCGUGUAGCCUUCUGUAUCUCUAUUGACGAAACACAAAAUAAAAACUAGUUUUCAUAGUA